AUUGAACGCUGGCGGCAGGCCUAACACAUGCAAGUCGAACGGUAACAGGAAGAAGCUUGCUUCUUUGCUGACGAGUGGCGGACGGGUGAGAAAUGUCUGGGAAACUGCCUGAUGGAGGGGGAUAACUACUGGAAACGGUAACUAAUACCGCAUAACGUCGCAAGACCAAAGAGGGGGACCUUCGGGCCUCUUGCCAUCGGAUGUGCCCAGAUGGGAUUAGCUAGUAGGUGGGGUAACGGCUCCCCUAGUCGACGAUCCCUAGCUGGUCUGAGAGGAUGACCGGCCACACUGGAACUGAGACACGGUCCAGACUCCUACGGGAGGCAGCAGUGGGGAAUAUUGCACAAUGGGCGCAAGCCUGAUGCAGCCAUGCCGCGUGUAUGAAGAAGGCCUUCGGGUUGUAAAGUACUUUCAGCGGGGAGGAAGGGAGUAAAGUUAAUACCUUUGCUCAUUGACGUUACCCGCAGAAGAAGCACCGGCUAACUCCGUG
rnacentral:rRNA from 1 species